UUUAUCCCCUUAUCGCAAUGUGAGGAUCAAGCAACUUGCUGACCAUAUUACUCAUAUUAUAUUGACGGACACCAAUAAUUCGAUAAUGUUGAGUACAGUACUAUAUAUGAUGGAAAAAAAUUCACACUUCUUUCAAAGUAUCAAUAUUGUGAAAUUUUAGUGUAUAUGCCAGGGUAAACUAAAGUGCUUGGUUUGGGUUAAACAAGUCAUUCCAAAGCA